rnacentral:misc_RNA from 1 species
CCCUGUUCUCGUUUCUGCAAACAUAGCCCUUAGAACUGAAACAUCGUAAUAGAGUGCAGGGACGACCAACAGCAUUGCUAAACCAUAGGUUGACAUCAUUUUCACAGUGCUGUACUUCAAAUCUCUUUGCGUGCAAUUCAAUUUCUUCUUUUGCACAAGGAUAUGAAUCUGUCCUUAGGUUGAUCUUCAACUUCGCCUUACAUCGAGGUGACUCAACAAGCAUUAGUCCUUGAUUUAGGUCAAUAGAAGUGCUAAUAAAGCACAUUUCAGGAACCUUUUUCUGAGUAAGGAUUUCC